rnacentral:rRNA from 1 species
AGCAGCCGCGGUAAUUCCAGCUCCAAUAGCGUAUAUUAAAGUUGUUGCAGUUAAAAAGCUCGUAGUUGAAUUUCGGGAUUGACGUGAUGGUCAUGCCUUAAGGGGUAUGAACUGUUGCUGUUGAUUUCUCACCUUCUGGAGAAACUUGAUGUCCUUUAUUGGGUGUCUUGCGGAACCAGGACCUUUACCUUGAAAAAAUUAGAGUGUUUAAAGCAGGCAUUUUUGCUCGAAUACAUUAGCAUGGAAUAAUAGAAUAGGACGGCAUGGUUCUAUUUUGUUGGUUUCUAGGACCACCGUAAUGAUUAAUAGGGAUAGUUGGGGGCAUUAGUAUUCAAUUGUCAGAGGUGAAAUUCUUGGAUUUAUUGAAGACUAACUACUGCGAAAGCAUUUGCCAAGGAUGUUUUCAUUAAUCAAGAACGAAAGUUAGGGGAUCGAAGACGAUCAGAUACCGUCGUAGUCUUAACCAUAAACUAUGCCGACUAGGAAUCAGACGAUGUUAAUUUUUUAAUGACUCGUUUGGCACCUUACG